rnacentral:lncRNA from 1 species
CUUGAAGACCCAAGAUCACAUGUGUCUGUGUAGAUCGUAGAUCGUAAUAUCUUCCAGCCCCUAUCAAUUCCGGUCUUUUUCAUAUCUUCAUUCAACCCAAUCAAUCCUGAUUGAUCCCCUCGGAUCAGAUCAUUGCGAACUUUCCCUUGUUUGCUAAUACCGUAAUCCUGAUGAAGAUUCGGUAUCUCCUGUGCUAUUCCGACCCUCUUUCUCCCGGAUCCCAC